rnacentral:rRNA from 1 species
AUUUAAAAAUUUAUUAUAAUUAAUUAUAAUUUUAAUUUAAUUAAAAUAUUAAAUUUUUUAUUACAAGAAAAAUUUACUUUUAUAAUAGUUAAAUAGUACUGUGAAGGAAUAUAAUUAAAAUUUUAAAAAGAAAAAGUUUUUUGUACCUUGUGUAUCAGGGUUUAUUAAAAUUUAAAAAUUAAUUAUUUUUUUCUCGAAUUUAAAAGAGCUAAAUUUAUAUAAAUAUUAUUAUUUCAUAAAUAUUUAGAAUGUAAAUUUUGUAAUGAAAUGUUAUUCGUUUUUAAAUAUAUCUAGUUUUUUAAGAAAAAAAUUUAAUUUUAUUGAAUAAUUUAAAAAUUAUUAAUUUAAAUUUUUUUUAAUUAUUUAUUAAAUAAAUUUGGGGAUAAGCUUAAAUUUAUAAUAUUAUAAUUAAUUAAUUUGUAUUAUAAUUAGUAGGAUUGAAAAUUUCUUUUUUUAAAAAUUUGUAGAAAUUUGUUAUGAUAAAUAUAAUAUUUUUAUUUAAUUUAAUUAUUUUAUUAAAAUAAAAAAUUUAAUUUAAUUAUUUUUGUAAUAAUGAUAAAAUUAGUAUUAUAUAAUUAUAUAUAUAUAUAUAUAUAUAUAUAUAUAGAGAGAGAGAAAGAUUAAUUAAAGUAAUUCGGCAAAUAUUUUUUUMAVMWRUUURUUAURAUAAAYMUMAUMUUUUURUUUAAUUUAAUUAUUUUAUUAAAAUAAAAAAUUUAAUUUAAUUAUUUUUGUAAUAAUGAUAAAAUUAGUAUUAUAWAAUUAUAUAUAUAUAUAUAUAUAUAUAUAUAUAKAAGAGAGAGAAAGAUUAAUUAAAGUAAUUCGGCAAAUAUUUUUUUCACCUGUUUAUUAAAAACAUCUCUUUUUGUUAAUAAUAUAAAGUAGGGCCUGCCCACUGAUAAUUUGAAGGGCCGCAGUAUUUUGACUGUGCAAAGGUAGCAUAAUCAUUAGUUUUUUAAUUGAAAGCUAGUAUGAAUGGUUUGAUGAGAAAAAUACUUUCUAUAAUUAAUUUUUUAAGAAUUUUAUUUUUAAGUUAAAAAGCUUAAAUAUUUUUAAUAGACGAGAAGACCCUAUAGAGUUUAAUUAUUUUAAUUUAUAUAAUAUUUAGAAUUAAAUUAUUUUUAUUUAUAAAAUAAUUUGAUUGGGGUGAUUAAAAAAUUUAUUAAACUUUUUUUAUUUAUAUACAUUAAUUUAUGAAUUGUUGAUCCAUAAAAAUGAUUAAAAGAUUAAAUUACCUUAGGGAUAACAGCGUUAUUUUUUUUUAGAGUUCAAAUCGAAAAAAGAGAUUGCGACCUCGAUGUUGGAUUAAAGUUAAUUUUUGGUGUAGAAGCUAUAAUAUUUGGUCUGUUCGACCAUUAAAACUUUACAUGAUCUGAGUUUAAACCGGUGUGAGCCAGGUUGGUUUCUAUCUUUAAAAUUUUAAAAAUUUUUAGUACGAAAGGACCAAAAUUUUGAUUUAAAAAAUUUUUUUAUAGAAUUAAAAU